GAGCUGAGCAAGGAAGAAGGCCCUGUGGCUUUGACAGAUGGGCUUCUUAUCCUCUCAGAUUUGGAGUGUGGAAGUGUACACAGUCUAAAACCAGACUCCGUUGAUGUGAGACUAUGAAGAUAAAUGUUGCAGGAGUGCCCCACCAUGCCUGGCUGCAUUAUAAUUCUAAAACAUAAAAAGGACUCCCCUGUUCAGCAGAGGUGGAACAGUUCAUUAGGUAAGUUAGAAGAUAUGCAUAUUAUGAGUUAAUAUUCAAUACAUUUAAAUUAUGGGAAGAGUGAUACAUUGCUAAAGGGUAAGGGGAAUCAGAAAUAAUCUCAACAAUGGAAAAUGUUAAUCUUUCUUCUUUUAUUAAACUUUCAUUUUCUUAACUUUCUUCCUGGGUAUCUCUUUCUUUUAAAAAGAAAGCCACAAAAUAUGCUUGCUUUUAGUAUUUUACCUUAAAAUUAAAUGUGUAAUGACUAAGAUCUUAUCUGAUCAUUCCAGGGAUGACCCUCUAUGGAAAUUUUUAAAAGAUCACGGGAGGAGGUGGAGUAGGCAGAGUGGCUCCUCCAAGGUUUCGAUUAAGUGCCCUGUUUCCACGAGGCCUGUGCAGGCCAUGCUUUCAGCACUGUGUUCAGCUUUCUCUUCCUGCACACGCCUCAUCUCCCACGUGUGCUGCACUUGUUUUUCCUUUUUGGCAUAGUGUACAUCAUCUUCUAACCUAUCAUGUAGUUUAUUUAUUUUUUAUUGUCUGGUUUAUAGUGGGUAUGCAGGGGUGUGUUUUUUGCCCAAAUGAGAACCCUUUUUCUUUUCCCAACAAUGGAUCCUGCCCUGCUGCUGAUUGGCUUGAAUUUUGUGAUUCCAGUCAACUCCAUUAGAUUCUCACUCUAGGGAAGCAGAAUAUCAAUCAUCACUUUCUUGGGAAUAGAAGGAAGUUGGAGUUAUUUGAUGCCCUUGUACAGAUGGUCAGGGAGCUGUUGACAGCCCAAGGAUGAUCCAGUCUCCUACUACAGAAAUUCGUUGUUCAACUUAUAUGUCUUUAAUCAGGAAAAUGAAGUCAUAUACUCACCCAAAGCCUUGCACUGAAGGACCAGGUAAUGUUGUUGACACCUGCAAUCCUUGUUACUUGGGAGGCAGACCUGGGAGGAUUGCUGUUCAAGGCCACCCCAAGUUAGAAACAAACGAACAAAUGAACAAGUGAUUAGUGAGACCCUAUCUUGAAAACAAGCUGGGCAUGAUGGUUGACACCUUUAAUGCUGCUGAAUGAAGAGAUAGGAGUAUCAUGGGGUCUGAGACCAGCCCCAGGCAAAAAAGCACAAGACCCCAGUUGAAAAAUAAGCUAAAAGCAAAAAAAAAAUUGGAGG